rnacentral:rRNA from 1 species
AUUGAACGCUGGCGGCAUGCCUUACACAUGCAAGUCGAACGGUAACAGGUCUUCGGAUGCUGACGAGUGGCGAACGGGUGAGUAAUACAUCGGAACGUGCCCGAUCGUGGGGGAUAACGGAGCGAAAGCUUUGCUAAUACCGCAUAAGAUCUACGGAUGAAAGCAGGGGACCGCAAGGCCUUGCGCGAACGGAGCGGCCGAUGGCAGAUUAGGUAGUGGGUGGGAUAAAAGCUUACCAAGCCGACGAUCUGUAGCUGGUCUGAGAGGACGACCAGCCACACUGGGACGGAGAAACGGCCCAGACUCCUACGGGAGGCAGAAGUGGGGAAUGUUGGACAAUGGGCGCAAGCCUGAUCCAGCCAUGCCGCGUGCAGGAUGAAGGCCUUCGGGUUGUAAAGUGCUUUUGUACGGAACGAAAAGACUCUUUCUAAUAAAGAGAGUCCAUGACGGUACCGGAAGAAUAAGCACCGGCUAACUACGUGCCAGCCGCCGCCGUAA